AGGCCGACUGGUGGGACUUCACGCAUCGUCUCGUCCGAUUUCUUUCUCGAUCAAACGCCACCAAAAAAAUCUGAGAAAAUUCGAGGAGGGGCGCGGAUAUUGGCGCAUCCUCGUGAGAAAUUCCAGUCUAGAUCGCUGGCGGGGUAGAGGGAGUAGCGAAAAUGAGAAAAAAAUACGUUGCGAUUUUCAUCUAAUCGAGCCGUCCUCUCCAUCUGGAUCUGAAUUCUGUGUUCUAUGAGCGCCAGAGCAUAUAUGCCCUAGUAGAAACGAUGCAGGCGAGGCUUCCGGGGUUCGUUCUGCUUUGAAUUCCGCCUCGAUAAGGCCUAGUUGCUUGCUUCAGGUGAAAGCACCACGAAGGGACUGGUUUAAUUUGUCUGGUGGUUCUGGAUAUGAACAAGUUAAGGGAAUAAGUUUGCCCAAGCAUCACCAAUAUGCAGAAGUUUCUGAGAAAAACUGAAAAACUGGACCUUAGCUCAGGAACACUGGAUCCAGGCACUAGAGGUCACCUGUCCAGGUUGUGCUGGUUUUCUGUCCAUUGUUUUGUCUGAACAAAUGGAGAACACACACUAUCUGGGGAAAUAAAUGAGUUGCAGAUCAAGAGAUACUACAACAUCAGUGACUCUGAUCAUGUUAUCAAUCCGAAUUUCCCUCUGAUUUUGUCAAAACUGCUUAAGCUAACUUGUUGAGAUGCUUAGCUCGCCUAACUAUUUGUUUUCUGCCUGAUGACAUGAGGUGUGAUGGUGAACUGCUCAGGGUCAGUCUCAACUUGCCACUCAAGAAGGGUACAGGUGUCGAGCUGCAGUAGGAAAAGGGCCCACGGUAUCAGAAUCAGCUCAACCAAGGACUGAGAGGUGGGCCCAACCUUGCCACGUGGGUGCAUGUGGCUCGUAGACGUGCACUUGCACAGCAUGGUAUGUGGGGCCAGACCAGGAAUAUAUAUGGGCAUAUGGCGUAUCAGUUUCAGAAGCUUUGAAAGGUUGGACCUACUAAUUGUGCAAUCAGUGUACCAUUCGCUUUGGCCCUGAUUAAUCACAGGACAAAUGGAUCAACCUACAGCCCGGGAGAAAGCAGAAAGCAUCAUGCAUUUCCAGGAACCGAUUAUUCGGAUUCAGAUGCCUCUAAGGUUCGAAAAGCCAUGAUUGCAGCAGCAAACAGACAUCAAAAUUUUGAUUCGGAGAAUGCAGUUAGUCAACAGCAAUGUGCGGAUGGUCCAAGAGAUUGAAAUGUUCAGAGCGACGCAGCCCAGAAAAUGAUUUCAGAAUGGCCAUGUUUUGGCCGUUCGUCCACCGUAAACAAGCAGCCAAACUGGAAUUACUUGCACCUUCAGAGACGGCGACAUCAUCCUGCAGGGGACAAGCAGCGGCUUCUGGAUCAUCACGGGAGCUAGCAGAGCUUGAGGGAGACUUGCCACAUACCAACAAAUGGCCCAUGCCCCUACUGCCCCACCAUUACUAUUGUUUAUUUUGUCUAAUUGUUUACACUGCACAUAACCACAUACUGAUUUUUCUCCAUUUUAGAAUCUUGGGCUGAAGAACGGCUGCAGAAACCAUUUUUAUUUCUGAAGGGAAGGCAAGGUGCUAUGACAGUCUCUUCUACUAGUGGUGUAUGUGUAUCUCCGGAAAAGAGAAUCGAAUCUGGUCAUCACCAUGUCCAUUCAUUCCAAGACAAGGUAAAAAGGUCUAGAAGGCAACCCCUGAGGGCAAGUACUACGAGUCUCUACACAUUGCUUCUAAAUUUACCAUAUAAGAUUAGAUGAUGAGGUGGAGGAGAGGAGUUAGGAGAGAGAGAAUGAGCCACUCCUCAUGCAAGGGGCAACCUCUACACAAUAUCCAAGAAAAGUACAAGAUGAUGUGAGAGUAGAUUAAUAUUGGGGUUUGUGUAUUAGAUGUGAUAUGUUUUAUGUGUUGCCUCUUAAGUAAUGAGAAGAUGACAUGAUCUAAAUUAGAUGUGACAUCCACCUCCACUAUAAAACUUGCCCUCAAGCCCUGUGAACUUCCUCCCUUUUUUAGGCUAUCUUGAUCUCAUGAGGUCCUUAUUUUCUUUAGUAGUUUUUAUAUUUUUCUCCUUAACAAAUCUGACUUCUGGAUACACAUAUGCAAAAAAAAAAAUAUUUGCUUAUUUCUUAGUAGCUUUGUGAUAUUCUCCUUAACAAAUCUGACAUCUUUAUACACACAUGAAAAAAAAGAGAUAAUUAUUCUUAUUUGCUUCGGGUGAACAAGUCAGUACAAUGUAACUUAAUAUAGAGAUUCAUAUGUGCAAUAGAAGUGGACUAAAAUACUAAAAAUACACUAACUAGUAUUUAAAUUUUACACCUGUCUUUCAUGGCUAGUAAGUUGCAAGCACCGAUGUAUCUCACCUGGAGCUUUACGUGAUGUGAAAUAGUAGUCAUUCCAUCUGUUUUUUCUUAUAAAACGCGAUAAACCCAGCCUCUAAAUUUAACAGGAUGUACAUGGCCAAUACACGAGCGCAUAGUCUCCAAACACCUUACACAAGGUCCAAACAACCAUUAGCCCAACAUGAUACAAAUACCACUAAACUUACUCUUAACUUCAAAAGUUUGCAACCCUCUUUCACUGGUUGCUAUCAUCUUCGAUUAAGACCAUUGCCUCGCCCAAUAGGUCCUUUUGAAGAUAACCUGCAAAAAUAACUUAAUCUUGAAGCCAUUGAACACCAAUUAUUUCUAGAGGUCUAAAUAGCUCAACACAAUGCCGCAAUUCUCACAAAGAAUUGAUAUUUAGCCAAUUACCAAAAAAGUUAGCGGCAAUAGUAGGCGGUUCGAGCCAAAAGCUAUGCAUACGGCCUUCCAAAUACCUCUGGCAAUUUGGCAAUCGAAAAAUAUAUGUUGUGUUGUCUCAUUAGAAUAAAAAACAAUGGUUAAUGCUACCUUUCCAUCUCUUUUCACUAAAAUUGUUAUCUUUAGUUGACACAACCGCUAUCUGUUAAGUAUCAAAGGCAUUCAAUCAGUAUACUCAUUUCGUCCUAAAAUAAACUAACCUAAUAUAGAAUAUAACAUUUUCUAUUACAACGAAUUUGUUUUGGUAUGUUCAGAUUUAUUUUACUAUGAAAUGUUCUAUUUUAUCUUAGAAUCAUUUGUUCUUGGGACGUGAGGGUAUGUUAACGGCUAGCGUCCAUGCGUACUUUUAUGCGACGUCACAGCACACAUGGGCAUCUCUAUCUAUGUUCGUUUUUAGGACACGUGCAUCUCCAUUGAUCACAGCAAUUAAAGGCUGCCUAAUCGAUCAUCAACUGUUGUCAUUGAACCCUAGCGUGACGGAACAGAAUGAAUAGGACGUUGUACAAGAAACGAGUGUGCUAAUGAAGAUUGAAGCACCUCAUGUUAGGCAACAUCACCGCGAACAACUCAACUACUAACUAUUCUUGGUUGACACAGGCACAUUUUUAACUAUUUGCUGAUUAACCGUGGUUUAUUUACCAUAAGUUGCAGCAAGCUCCGUGUAGUCCCGGUUGGCAACCCCUUUGUAGUCCCGGAUUUUCAACCGGGACUAUGAAUCCGGGACUAAAGAUCACUAUCUUUAGUCCCGGUUGAAAUAAUAACCGGGACUAAAGAUAGCAGCACAGUCCCGGUUGGUCACCAUUUUUUUCUUUUUUUUAUUUUCAUUGUUUCUUUCCAAAUAGUUGCUCCUUCCCAAAUCUCCCCAAAUAUCCCAAAUAUCCCAAAAUCAAAGUAUCAUCCUCAAAUCAAUGAAUCAUUCACAUCACAAAUUCUCAAAAAACUACAACUCAAAUUCUUAAAGAAAUACAUCACAGAUCCAAUGAAUCACAAGUUCUUAGAUCCAAAUGUAUCAAAAAUUCGGGAAAAAAAAAGAAAAUUGUGCUUCCGCUGCCGCCUCCCCCCUCCGGCAGAGGAGAGGGCGCCACCGGCCGCCAGCUCCCGCCAUCGCCGCGCUCCCUGCCGCCCGCGGCCCGCCGCCAGCCGCCGCCCGGGCACGCUCUGGUAGAGGAGGAGGAGGAGGAGGAGGAGGAGAGGGGAAGGGGAGAGGGGAGAGGAGAAGACUCUGUGGCAUAAUGCCAAAUCCGAUCUGAGGUUGUCGUUUAUGAGAGCUAGGGAGUAGAGAGAGAGGAAGGGGAUGGAACGAUAAG